GUUUAUUUGGAGAUAUAAAUAAUUUGGCCUGCCCCCUGAUUAUAAAUUUAAGGGCCGCAGUAUUAUAACUGUGCAAAGGUAGCAUAAUCAUUAGGUUUUUAAUUGGAAUCUGGUAUGAAUGGUCGCACAAAAGAAUAACUCUCUUUAUAUUAAAUUUUGAAUUUAACUUUUAAGUGAAAAGGCUUAAAUGAACUAAAGGGACGAUAAGACCCUAUAAAACUUCACAUUGUAAUUAAAUUUUAUUAAUUUUAAUAAAUAAAGAUUUAAUUUAAUUAUUUGUUAGGCUGGGGAGGCACAGAUAAAUGUUAUAUUAACUGUUUGAUAAUUAUACAAUUAUUAGUGGUGUAUAAUAUGAUCCUUUAUUAAGAUUAAUAAAUUAAGUUACUUUAGGGAUAACAGCGUAAUUUCUUUUGAGAGUUCUUAUCGAAAAAGAAGAUUGCGACCUCGAUGUUGAAUUAAAUAUUCUAUAUAAUGAAGAGGUUAUACAAGAAGGUCUGUUCGACCUUUAAAAUUUUACAUGAUUUGAGUUCAAACCGGCGUGAG
rnacentral:rRNA from 1 species